rnacentral:rRNA from 1 species
CCUACGGGUGGCAGCAGUGAGGAAUAUUGGUCAAUGGACGAGAGUCUGAACCAGCCAAGUAGCGUGAAGGAUGACUGCCCUAUGGGUUGUAACCUUCUUUUAUAUGGGAAUAAAACGUUCCACGUGUGGGAUUUUGUAUGUACCAUAUGAAUAAGGAUCGGCUAACUCCGUGCCAGCAGCCGCGGUAAUACGGAGGAUCCGAGCGUUAUCCGGAUUUAUUGGGUUGAAAGGGAGCGUAGGUGGAUUGUUAAGUCAGUUGUGAAAGUUUGGGGCUCAACCGUAAACUUGCAGUUGAAACUGGGUGUCUUGUGUGCAGUAGAGGUGGGCGGAAUUCGGGGUGUAGCGGUGAAAUGCGUAGAUA